UACGAAGGGGACUAGCGUUGUUCGGAUUUACUGGGCGUAAAGCGCGCGUAGGCGGAUCGCUAAGUCAGGGGUGAAAUCCCAAGGCUCAACCUUGGAACUGCCUUUGAUACUGACGAUCUGGAGAUCGGGAGAGGUUGGUGGAAUUCCGAGUGUAGAGGUGAAAUUCGUAGAUAUUCGGAGGAACACCAGAAGCGAAGGCGGCCAACUGGCCCGAUACUGACGCUGAGGCGCGAAAGCGUGGGGAGCAAACAGG
rnacentral:rRNA from 1 species